GGACCUGUUGUCGCGCCAGCGGCAUAGCAGGGUAGCCAAGUGCGGAAGGGAUAACCGCUGAAAGCAUCUAAGCGGGAAACCCACCUCGAAACGAGUUCUCCCUUGAGAGCCGUGGAAGACCACCACGUUGAUAGGCUGGGUGUGGAAGCGCAGCAAUGCGCGUAGCUAACCAGUACUAAUCGCUCGAUAGGCUUGAUUGCUCUCAUU
rnacentral:rRNA from 1 species